UACGAAGGGUGCAAGCGUUAAUCGGAAUUACUGGGCGUAAAGCGUGCGUAGGUGGUCUUUUAAGUCCGUUGUGAAAGCCCUGGGCUCAACCUGGGAAUGGCAGUGGAUACUGGGAGGCUGGAGUACGGUAGAGGAGGGUGGAAUUCCCGGUGUAGCGGUGAAAUGCGUAGAGAUCGGGAGGAACAUCAGUGGCGAAGGCGGCCCUCUGGACAGUUCCUGACACUGAGACACGAAGGCCAGGGGAGCAAACGGG
rnacentral:rRNA from 1 species